rnacentral:rRNA from 1 species
AAUAGAUACCCCGGUAGUCCACGCCGUAAACGAUGGAUGCUAGCUGUUAGGAGUAUCGACCCUUCUAGUAGCGAAGCUAACGCGUUAAGCAUCCCGCCUGGGGAGUACGGUCGCAAGAUUAAAACUCAAAGGAAUUGACGGGGACCCGCACAAGUGGUGGAGCGUGUUCUUUAAUUCGAUGAUAAGCGAAGAACCUUACCAGGGCUUGACAUCCUUGGAAUUUCUGCGAAAGCAGAGAGUACUUUAUUGGACCAAGUGACAGGUGUUGCAUGGCCGUCGUCAGCUCGUGUCGUGAGAUGUUAGGUUAAGUCCUUCAACGAGCGCAACCCUUAUGUUUAGUUGGAUUUUUUCUAAACAGACUGCCUCGGCAACGGGGAGGAAGGAGGGGAUGAUGUCAGGUCAUUAUUACCCUUACGUCCUGGGCUAGAAACGCGCUACAAUGGCCGGUACAGAGGGCAGCCAACCCGCGAGGGGGAGCAAAUCCCCAUCAAAACCGGUCCCAGUUCGGAUUGCAGGCUGAAACUCGCCUGCAUGAAGCCGGAAUCACUAGU